GACGAACCGUGCGAACGUUGUUCGGAAUCACUGGGCUUAAAGGGCGCGUAGGCGGAUGGUCAAGUCGGUGGUGAAAUCCUUCAGCUCAACUGGAGAAGAGCCGCCGAUACUGAUCGUCUCGAGGAAGGUAGGGGCAUGUGGAACUCAGGGUGGAGCGGUGAAAUGCGUAGAUAUCCUGAGGAACGCCGGUGGCGAAAGCGACGUGCUGGACCUUUUCUGACGCUGAGGCGCGAAAGCCAGGGGAGCGAACGGG
rnacentral:rRNA from 1 species